CCUCCUUAGCUCAGUCGGUUAGAGCAUCUGACUGUUAAUCAGAGGGUCGCUGGUUCGAGCCCAGCAGGAGGAG
rnacentral:tRNA from 1 species